GUGUACCAGGACGACUACUGCUCCGGCUCGGUGAUGUCGGAGCGGGUGUCGGGCCUGGCGGGCUCCAUCUACCGCGAGUUCGAGCGCCUCAUCCACUGCUACGACGAGGAGGUGGUCAAGGAGCUCAUGCCGCUGGUGGUGAACGUGCUGGAGAACCUAGACUCGGUGCUCAGCGAGAACCAGGAGCACGAGGUGGAGCUGGAGCUGCUGCGCGAGGACAACGAGCAGCUGCUCACCCAGUACGAGCGUGAGAAGGCGCUGCGCAGGCAGGCGGAGGAGAAAUUCAUUGAGUUUGAAGAUGCUCUGGAACAAGAGAAGAAAGAGCUGCAAAUCCAGGUGGAGCACUACGAGUUCCAGACGCGCCAGCUGGAGCUGAAGGCCAAGAACUAUGCCGAUCAGAUUUCCCGGUUGGAGGAGCGGGAGUCGGAGAUGAAGAAGGAGUACAAUGCCCUGCACCAGCGGCACACAGAGAUGAUACAGACCUACGUGGAGCACAUUGAGAGGUCCAAGAUGCAGCAGGUCGGAGGAAACAGCCAGACCGAGAGCAGCCUGCCGGGGCGGAGCAGGAAGGAGCGCCCCACCUCCCUGAACGUGUUCCCCCUGGCUGACGGCACGGUACGUGCACAGAUCGGGGGCAAGCUCGUGCCUGCGGGGGACCACUGGCACCUGAGUGACCUCGGCCAGCUGCAGUCCAGCUCCAGCUACCAGGUUUUGUAGCCGUGCCGUGGAGUGAGAGGCUCCUCCCUGUUGCUGGUGUUCCCCGUUCACUGGGGUGGGAGCCUUGUCUGCAGGCAGCCCUUCACAGCUCUCUGGGCCACUCGCCCUCUCCCUUCGUGUGUGGCAGGAUGGAGAAACCCAGCCAGGGUGUCAGGGGCUCGGGCUGCCCAGCAGGCCCUGUGUGGCUGUGGCUGCUCCACGCGGCCUCGUGUCGGCACCUGCUAGUCCAGGCUAGACCUCCCUGCCCUUGGAUAGACCGCUCUGUAGCCAGGGGUGUACAGUGCCUGUCAGGGUUGAGCUUAGUGAUCCUCUCUCAAACCACACCCCCACAUAAAGCCUCACGCCCACCCGGGCUCCAGCCAGACACAUCCUGCCCCUGAGAGCCGCGCCUCUACUCUCGGAGGAACGUCAGUGUCUAGAGUGUGGGGUUUGCCCUCCGCUGGCAGAAAGGUGAGGAGAAAGCUCCUCUUCUCUGGGCCCCUCCCUGCCUGUCCCUGGUAACGCCUCCUGGGUCCUGAGUUUGAGAAAGCAGAGCCUCGCCCCAGCAGGUACUCACAGCCAGAGUGCGGGGGCCCCAGCAGGUUCUCACAGCCAGCCGGUGAGUGCACCUCAGAGCAUAGGGGCCCAGAGCCAGGCCACUCCUUCAGGGCCCCAGGUCGCUUGCUGCCGGUUUUGGCCUGUGAGCUCACUGGCCUCAGUGCCAGGUAAGGACAGCCACCUUCCUGGGAAGAGGAGGUGACCCCGGGUCUGGUGGAUUUCCCACAGGGGCCAUCGGAGGAUGUCCACAGAGGCAGAGCCCUUGGGGCCUGUGGGCUGGGUUGGGCUGGUGGAUGUGGGGCCUGGGACUUCUCCAGAAGCUUACUUCCUGCUGCACGCUUUGCCGACUGUCCUUCCACCUCUAAGUGUCCAUCGUGCCUGUGGGGGCUGCUGCAGGCUCCUGCUCCGUCAGCCCACCUGCUGCUGCGCUGCUCUGGGAGCGAGCUCCCUCAUGGCAUCUGGAACGCUCUCCUGUCCUCCCUGUGCUCAGGGCUGGAGAGAGGGUGGCAGGGCUGCGGGCUCCCCGGGCCUUCUGGGCCCAGCCCUGCCACCUGGGCCCACCUCCUCUCACUGUCUCUGGCUCACGCUCCCCGGGCCUGGAGCUGGGACCUGCCCAUAGGCAUCUGAAGACACGUCAGCCUCAGCCCGGGGGAGCCCUUGCUUGACGCUCUCUGGCCUCCGGGCUGCCUCUCGCGCCCGCUCUGGGCCCGCUCUUCUUCUCAUGAUGUCUUUCCUUUCACCUCCUGCGUUGUCUGACAUCGUCUCUCUCUUCAUAAAUUGUAGCGUUUUAUGUUUUCGUUCAUAGGUGUGUUUUAUUUGAUUUUUCUUUAUUUUAAAUUAUUACAUUUAAGUUCUUUUUAUUUUAUGCUCUAGGUUUUGAAGUUUUUCUAAUUUCUUAAUUUUUUUGUUGUUUUUUGUUUUGUUUUGUUUUUGUUUUUAUGUACUGUAUUUUCAGUGUUUUAACCAAACAGUUGUGGCUACUCAUGGUGAGGAAUGACCGCUAAGAGUUUGGGUUCUUUCAAUGCAUUUGGAGGUCACUGCUACACGUUGAUGUUUAGGAGGUUGAGAGGUUUGCCUUUAGUGUCCACAGGAUGAAAUGUCCGAGUCAGGCCAGUCCUCG
rnacentral:sRNA from 1 species